GUCGAGGGGUAACAGGGGAGCUUGCUUCUGCUGACGACCGGCGCACGGGUGCGUAACGCGUAUACAAUCUGCCUUACACUAAGGGAUAGCCCAGAGAAAUUUGGAUUAAUACCUUAUAGUUUAUUAAGAUGGCAUCAUUUUAAUAAUAAAGAUUACGGUGUAAGAUGAGUAUGCGUACCAUUAGUUUGUUGGUAAGGUAACGGCUUACCAAGACUACGAUGGUUAGGGGCCCUGAGAGGGGGAUCCCCCACACUGGUACUGAGACACGGACCAGACUCCUACGGGAGGCAGCAGUGAGGAAUAUUGGACAAUGGAGGAGACUCUGAUCCAGCCAUGCCGCGUGCAGGAAGACGGUCCUAUGGAUUGUAAACUGCUUUUAUACAGGAAGAAUAAGGACUACGUGUAGUCUGGUGACGGUACUGUAAGAAUAAGGACCGGCUAACUCCGUGCCAGCAGCCGCGGUAAUACGGAGGGUCCGAGCGUUAUCCGGAAUUAUUGGGUUUAAAGGGUCCGUAGGCGGGCCAUUAAGUCAGGGGUGAAAGUUUGCAGCUCAACUGUAGAAUUGCCUUUGAUACUGAUGGUCUUGAAUUAUUGUGAAGUGGUUAGAAUAUGUAGUGUAGCGGUGAAAUGCAUAGAUAUUACAUAGAAUACCGAUUGCGAAGGCAGAUCACUAACAAUAUAUUGACGCUGAUGGACGAAAGCGUGGGUAGCGAACAGGAUUAGAUACCCUGGUAGUCCAC
rnacentral:rRNA from 1 species